ACCAUCUACUCCAUUCUCCUCCUCCGGCGCCGCCCCCUACCUCCGGCCUCCGCGCCACCACCCACCCCACCCACUCUCCGCUAGCGCACCGACCUCCGCCACCCUCUUCUGUACCGGCCGCGUUGCGCUGCAGCCGUCGGACCGGACGGAGGAGGUCGUCGCCCCCGAGGCCCCGACCAUCCUGCCUCUGCGCGGUUGAAGGCCUUCUUCAAGCUCGCCGUCCGACCACCCUCUGCCCCGUUCAAGGUCGCCUCCAACUCCCUUACUCUGCCCCGUUCAAGGUCGCGCUCAAGCUCUCCUCUAGCUCCCCUCCGCCCCCAGCUCGCCGCCGAGCUAGUGCAAAGUUCUCUGAAGAUUGCGUCUGUCUGCCCUUCGUGCAGCACAAUCAGAGAAUGGCUUGGGGUCAGCUUGCUAGAAGACCCGCAGUAGGGCUUCUGUCUCGUGCUCAACAACUAGCUGCUCAACGGUAUACUUGUGCAACGAUCCAAACUCAUCCGUUGAGCGAUCAUGUUUUCUAGGAGGUUUAGCACUGCGGUGCCUGCUUCAGAGCAAAUGAACCUUGUUAAGAAACUGCGAGAAAGAACGUGUGCUCCGAUCAAAGAUGUCAAGGCUUCGCUAGUUUGUUGCGACUGGGAUAUUGGUUUGUUGAUUUCUUUCUGAGACUGCACAGAAGGAUCUGGGGAAGAGAGGGGUGAUUCUUGCUGCCAAAAAAUCGUCACGGACUGCUGCCGAAGGUUUGCUUGCUAUGGCAGGAGAUGAUAAAAGGGUUGCUAUGGUUGAGCUAAAUUGUGAGACCGACUUCAUGGCAAGAAAUGAUGUUUUCCAGUAUCCAGGUGGUUUAAUUCCAGCGACAUCAUUUGUAUUAUAUCUUAUAAAUUCUGUUAAACGGUGUUAUUGCGCUAGAGGCAAUUAUUUUAGAUUCAUAUCCUCAACAUAAGUUUUUUUUUUUGAGAAACACAACAUAAGUAUAUAGAAAUUAGCAAAACGGUUUUGUUGCUAUUUGGCAUAGGCAAGCAUUAUUUCUUCACUACUUGAAGAGUAUGAACUCACAAUUUUUGAGAAAAAGGGUCAGUUCUAAAGUAAUCACUUCUCUUUCUUGUAAUGGUUGUCUUCUAGGGCAGCAUGUUGUUUCUAUCGUUUGUUUGUGCACUUGUUAUGAAUGUUUCUCCACGCCUCAUUUUUAGUUUUGUGUUCAACUUGUCAGAAUCAUUGCUAGUUUUUCAAUAUAUUGAUUGUUAUCCCCUGAUUUUCCAAAUCUUGCUUAUUGAUGUUUUUCAGUUUUUGCGGUAAAUUAUUGUUUUUUCUUCAAGGAACUUUUGGGCAUCUCUUUUGCAUUUCUGACCCUUCUUGCUUGGAUGUGCUUCACGUAAUAUGUUGUGUAUUUAAGCAUGUGCACAUGUUGUUUCGGUUGUGACCUUAUGGUAUGUCAAACAUACAUAGAAAUGCCAACUUCAAACUCUUGUUUAAUUGUAUUCUACAAGUUGUCUGUUCAUGCCAUUUUAAUUUCUAGGAAGUUAAUAACUUUUGGUAUUGUAUUGGGCACUCACCAGAGUAUACUUAGGCGAUGUUCGGUGUCACUCCGCUCCACAACUUUGGGAGCGGAGUUGGCGGAGCUACAGUUCAAAAUGGCAGAGUUGCAGUUUCCCCGCUCUGCAGAUUCCGGGAGCGGGUGAUUACCGAACAGGGCCUUAAUUAAAUGCAUCUUUCUUUAACAGGUGCAUUUUGAUAACUUCCUUUUUUCUUGCAAAUUUCAUUUGCCAUGCAGGCUUCAUCCUUGGCAAAGAUGGCUCUGUCAGCUCAGGAUCCCGGGAAAUCAGUUUUCCCUUUUGCUCCUGCAUAUUUGGAGAACAUGAGUAUUAACCUAGAUCAUCCUAAACCCAGUGGUGAAACAACUGUUCGGGAUGCUAUUACGGAAGUUGCUGACAUGGUUAUGGAGAACGUCUGAGUCGCGUUGCUGGAUUGGUCACUUUAGAAGCAGAAGAUAGCAGUGCUCCCCUUGACGCUCUCGAGAGAGUUGGGUCGUCUGUCCCAAUGCAUAUUGUUGCAGCAAGGUGCAAGGCCAUUAUUCUUAUCAAAAGAAGUAGAGAACUUGUUUCUGCUGCAGCUGUGGAAAAUGAACGUGAUGGGCUCUGAACUCAGAGACAGGGUCUAUAUCCAUCCUUAAUAUGAGGCUGAGCUUGUGCAUGCCAACAAGUUGCGUGACAAAGGACAUGGCAUGCUGUUGUGUAACAUGCUAGGCUGAAAGAUGAGGUAAACCCCAAAUGGCCAUAGAGAAAAUGGUGGAAGGUCGAUUGAGGAAGUAUUUCAAAGAAGCUAUGCUUUUGGAGCAAAAAUACGAAC